rfam:Schistosoma haematobium scaffold718_13, whole genome shotgun sequence.
AUUCAGCUGACGAGUUCCAAAUAUAAUGAAACGUACGUUCUGGAU